rnacentral:rRNA from 1 species
UUAUAUAUAUAAUAUACAUAUUAUAUUUAUAGGAAAGUCAUAAAUAUACAAAUUAAAAUAUAUCUAUAUUUUAUAAUAAAGUAAUUAAUAUAAAUAAUAAAUAUAAUCUUAUUUUCCCCCUUAUUUUUAAGGGGAGUUGGGAAUAAGUAAGUAUAUAAUUAUACUUAAUUUUGUUAUUAACAUAUAACAAAAUAUAUAUGGAAAUUAAAAGCUUAAUAUAUAUAUAUCAUAAUAUUAAUAUUUCUUUAAUACCUCCCAUACGUAUAAAGGGGAAAAUUAAACUAUUAAAGAGAUAAAUAUGAGUGAAAUAUAUAGUAAUAUAUCAUAAUUUAACCUAUCUUCCCCACCCCAUGUAUUAUAAAAAUGUUUAUAAAAGGAAAGGUUAAAAAAAUAUAAUUACUAUACAAAAAUAUGCUUAAAUAUAUAAUAUAUAUAUUAUAUAUAUAA